GUUCACCGCUCCAGCUUGGAUUAGUUGAACAGUACAGACGUCCCGCGGCUCACCGGGACCUGCAGACCAAGGGGAAGGAGUUGAGUGAAGAAACGCGAAUCGUCACGCUGCCUACAGACUGUGUGCUGGUGGUUGAAGCGAGCAGCAGCCCAAAUCCCCUGGUGGUGGUGUCCCUUCACGAUUCCCUUGCUGUUGGUGUGCUGUGUCAUGGGUGGUGUUUAGUUUUUUUGGAUCCCCCCCCCUCUUGAUUUUCUGCUGCUGCGGUCUGGCAGGGCAUUCAACACCUCACACACUAUCAAGGCAAUGCACCUGGGGCAGUCAGUACGGAUGCCUCACUAGCAGAAGAACUCAACCACUAAUGUGCCCGCUUUGAGGCAUCCAGACCUACCACAGUGGUGCCGUUCCGCCAGACCUCCAGUCCUCCCACGCUCACCAUUCAGGACCACCAGAUGAGGCGUGUACUAAAGACUGUGAACCCGAGGAAGGCUGCAGGACCGGAUGGUGUACUCCGUAAUGUACUAUGUGCUUGUGCAGACCAAUUGGCUGGAGUGCUGACCAGCAUCUUCAAUACAUCACUGACACAAGCAUCAGUACCAUCCUGCCUGAAAACAGCCACCAUCAUCCCAGUGCCAAAACACACAGCCAUCAAGAGCCUCAGUGACUACAGACCAGUGGCACUGUCUGUAGGCAUGAAAUGCUUUGAGAGACUCAUCCUCCAACACAUAAAGGCCUGCCUCCCUCAGAACUGCGACCCACACCAGUUUGCCUAUAGAGCAAACCGGUCCAGGGAGGACAUCAUCUCCACUGCCCUCCACACUGCCCUGAGCCACCUGCAGCUGCCGAGGAGUUAUAUCAGGAUGAUGUUCGUGGAUUACAGCUCAGCUUUUAACACAAUCAUCCCUGACACCCUGAUUGAGAAGCUGACUGUCCUGGACAUCCCCCCCCCAUAUCUGUUCCUGGAUCAAAGACUUCCUGACUAACCGGCCUCACGUUGUGAAAGUGGGCCAGCUCUGCUCCUCCAUUCUUAGCCUCAGCACCGGCUCUUCACAGGGCUGUGUGCUGAGCUCGCCACAGUACGCCCUCUACAUGUACGACUGCACCCCGAUCCACCCCUCCAACUCCAUCGUUAAAUUUGCAGACGACACCACUGUGGUAGGUCUGAUUACGGGUGGAGAAGAGGCAGCGUACGGGGGGGGGAGUACAGAAGCUAGCAGAGUGGUGCAUUGUGAACAACCUGAGGCUCAACACCACCAAGACCAAAGACAUGGUCAUUGACUUCAGGAGGCAGAGAGAGGGCCAUGAUCCUCUGGACAUUAACGGGGCAUGUGUGGAGACGGUAGCCUCCUUUAAGUUUCUGGGGACCUGUAUCACAGUGAACCUCACCUGGACAGCCAACACAUCAGCACUCAUCAAGAAGGCCCAGCAGAGACUCCACUUCCUGCAAGUGCUGCGGAGAAACCAUCUAGAGGAGAAACUGCUGGUGUCCUUCGACCGCACCACCAUUGAAAGCGUGCAGAUGUACUGUGUCACAAUGUGGUUUGCUGGCUGCUCUGUGGCAAACAGGAAAGCUCUGCAGAGGGUGACCAGAACGGCUGAAAAGAUCAUUGGUUGCCCUCUGCCUCCUCAGGAAGUCACUGCCAGCUCUCGGUGCCUCAGCAGAGCAAAGAAAAUAUCAGAGGCAGUUUAGCCUGCUGCCCUCAGGCAGGAGGUACAGGGCCUUAAAAUGCAGGACAAACAGACUCAGAGACAGUUUUUACCCAUGGGCCAUUAGGUUGUUGAAUACUGCAGACAUGGGUUCACAGGUCAACAACAACACAUUGUUUUAUACAGUUUACUUGUACUUUUAUUCUUCCUUGCACCAUCAGAGGCAGCUGUUUUAAUUUCAUCAUACACAUGUUGAAUGAUGACAAUAAAGGUCUUUCUGUUCCAUUUCUGUUUAUGACCACAGUGUACCCAUCUACUGAUGGCUACUU